AACGAACGCUGGCGGCAGGCCUAACACAUGCAAGUCGAGCGCACCCUUCGGGGUGAGCGGCGGACGGGUGAGUAACGAGUGGGAACGUGCACUUCUCUGCGGAAUAGCCUCGGGUAACUGAGAGUAAUACCGCAUACGCCCUUAGGGGGAAAGAUUUCUCGGUGAAGGAUCGGCCCGCGUUGGUUUAGGUAGUUGGUGGGGUAGUGGCGCGCCAAGGCGACGAUCCAUAGCUGGUUUGAGAAGAUGCUCAGCCACACUGGAACUGAGACACGGCCCAGACUCCGACGGGGGGCAGCAGUGGGGAAUCUUAGGCAAUGGGGGCAACCCUGAUCUAGCCAUGCCGCGUGAGUGAUGAAGGGCUUAGGGUUGUAAAGCUCUUUCAGCUGGGAAGAGAAUGACGGUAACAGCAGAAGAAGCCCCGGCUAACUCCGUG
rnacentral:rRNA from 1 species